GAUGAACGCUGGCGGCGUGCCUAAUACAUGCGAGUCGAGCGAACAGACGAGGAGCUUGCUCCUCUGACGUUAGCGGCGGACGGGUGAGUAACACGUGGAUAACCUACCUAUAAGACUGGGAUAACUUUGGGAAACCGGAGCUAAUACCGGAUAAUAUAUUGAACCGCAUGGUUCAAUAGUGAAAGACGGUUUUGCUGUCACUUAUAGAUGGAUCCGCGCCGCAUUAGCUAGUUGGUAAGGUAACGGCUUACCAAGGCGACGAUGCGUAGCCGACCUGAGAGGGUGAUCGGCCACACUGGAACUGAGACACGGUCCAGACUCCUACGGGAGGCAGCAGUAGGGAAUCUUCCGCAAUGGGCGAAAGCCUGACGGAGCAACGCCGCGCGAGUGAUGAAGGUCUUCGGAUCGUAAAACUCUGUUAUUAGGGAAGAACAAAUGUGUAAGUAACUAUGCACGUCUUGACGGUACCUAAUCAGAAAGCCACGGCUAACUACGUG
rnacentral:rRNA from 1 species